GUGCUUGCUUCAGCAGCUCAUAUACUAAAAAUUGGAACAAUAUGGAGAAGAUUAGCAUGGCCCCUGUGCAAGGAUGACACACAAAUUUGUGAAACAUUCCAUAAUUUU
rnacentral:snRNA from 1 species